UUAAAGAGAUUUAAAUGAUUUGAGAUGGCCUCUCGCCCUAUUCAGUGUAACUGCUGUGGUAGUGGGUUUGGUCGCUCGCAUUUAAAUUGGAAGGGUAAUGGUGGACCGCACUUCUCCCUUAGUAGGACGUUGCGACCUGUCAAAUAAUAUCCUAAGUAUAUGGCUAAUUUGUCUGUUUUUAGGCAAUACCGCGAGGUAUUUCCUUUAACAGUUUUAGCCGUUUAUAUAUACUGGAUAUAAUUGACAGUAACGAAUCAUGGUGUUGAGCCACUUGAAAUUGUAUAUUUAUAUGUAUAAUGGAAAGUGUCCUUGUGGCUGUUUGCAAGUGGGUUGGUUAAUUAGUUUUAGUCGGAUUUUGGUCCGUCUAGCUAUUCCGCCUACUGUUGGUAAACUGUUCCUUGGACAGUGCUUACAACACCGGUCGGCAGCGAUUCAGGUUCAGGCUCUUAUCCGACCCGUCUUGAAACACGGACCAAGGAGUUUAGCGUGUACGCAAGUCAUUGGGUGUAUAAAACCCAAAGGCGC
rnacentral:rRNA from 1 species